CAUCCCUCUCUCCUCUCCUCCUGUCACUAGCAAUGCCCAACGGACGUGACACAUCCACGAACAAUAGCUAGAACAAAGUCAUUUUCAUUGGGGUGUGAGCAGGGGAGCUGGGCUGGAGAGGUGCCAAAGUGUCGGAGUUUGGGCGUUAUUUGAAAUUUUCCCAAUGUUAGUCACCAAUUGAAGAUGAAAGGCGGAGAAACUUCCUCUGAUAGGGACAGAGGUGACGACAGGGCUCCAGACUGAGCGGGACAGAGGAGACGACAGGGCUCCAGACUGAACGGGACAGAGGAGACGACAGGGCUCCAGACUGAACGGGACAGAGGAGACGACAGGGCUCCAGACUGAACGGGACAGAGGAGACGACAGGGCUCCAGACUGAACGGGACAGAGGAGACGACAGGGCUCCAGACUGAACGGGACAGAGGAGACGACGGGGCUCCAGACUGAACGGGACAGAGGAGACGACAGGGCUCCAGACUGAGCGGGACAGAGGAGACGACAGGGCUCCAGACUGAGCGGGACAGAGGAGACGACAGGGCUCCAGACUGAACGGGACAGAGGAGACGACAGGGCUCCAGACUGAACGGGAC